GACGAACGCUGGCGGCGUGCUUAACACAUGCAAGUCGAGCGGAGCGGCGAACGGGUGAGUAACGCGUGAGUAACUGCCCCCCUCUCUGGGAUAACAGUUGGAAACGGCUGCUAAUACCGGAUAGUGGGGGAUGACUCGCGUCCUAUCAGCUUGUUGGUGGGGUAGUGGCCGACCACGGGGACGACGGGUAGCCGGCCUGGGAUGGCGACCGGCCUCAUUGGGCUGAGGUACGGCGCAAACUCCUACGGUGGGCAGCAGGGGGGAAUAUUGCACAAUGGGGGAAACCCUGUUGCAGCAACGCCGCGGGCGGGAUGACGGCCUUCGGGUUGUAAACCGCUUUCAGCCAUGACGCGGUAGUGGCAGAAGAAGCACCGGCUAACUACGUGCCAGCCGCCGCGGUAAUUC
rnacentral:rRNA from 1 species